rnacentral:rRNA from 1 species
UUCGGGGGUACUCGAGUGGCGAACGGGUGAGUAACACGUGGGCAAUCUGCCCUGCACUUCGGGAUAAGCCUGGGAAACUGGGUCUAAUACCGGAUAGGACCUUUAGACGCAUGUCUUUUGGUGNAAAGCUUUUGCGGUGUGGGAUGGGCCCGCGGCCUAUCAGCUUGUUGGUGGGGUGAUGGCCUACCAAGGCGACGACGGGUAGCCGGCCUGAGAGGGUGUCCGGCCACACUGGGACUGAGAUACGGCCCAGACUCCUACGGGAGGCAGCAGUGGGGAAUAUUGCACAAUGGGCGCAAGCCUGAUGCAGCGACGCCGCGUGGGGGAUGACGGCCUUCGGGUUGUAAACCUCUUUCACCAUCGACGAAGGUUCGGGUUUUCUCGGAUUGACGGUAGGUGGAGAAGAAGCACCGGCCAACUACGUGCCAGCAGCCGCGGUAAUACGUAGGGUGCGAGCGUUGUCCGGAAUUACUGGGCGUAAAGAGCUCGUAGGUGGUUUGUCGCGUUGUUCGUGAAAUCUCACGGCUUAACUGUGAGCGUGCGGGCGAUACGGGCAGACUAGAGUACUGCAGGGGAGACUGGAAUUCCUGGUGUAGCGGUGGAAUGCGCAGAUAUCAGGAGGAACACCGGUGGCGAAGGCGGGUCUCUGGGCAGUAACUGACGCUGAGGAGCGAAAGCGUGGGGAGCGAACAGGAUUAGAUACCCUGGUAGUCCACGCCGUAAACGGUGGGUACUAGGUGUGGGUUUCCUUCCUUGGGAUCCGUGCCGUAGCUAACGCAUUAAGUACCCCGCCUGGGGAGUUCCGCCGCAAGGCUAAAACUCAAAGGAAUUGACGGGGGCCCGCACAAGCGGCGGAGCAUGUGGAUUAAUUCGAUGCAACGCGAAGAACCUUACCUGGGUUUGACAUGCACAGGACGCGUCUAGAGAUAGGCGUUCCCUUGUGGCCUGUGUGCAGGUGGUGCAUGGCUGUCGUCAGCUCGUGUCGUGAGAUGUUGGGUUAAGUCCCGCAACGAGCGCAACCCUUGUCUCAUGUUGCCAGCGGGUAAUGCCGGGGACUCGUGAGAGACUGCCGGGGUCAACUCGGAGGAAGGUGGGGAUGACGUCAAGUCAUCAUGCCCCUUAUGUCCAGGGCUUCACACAUGCUACAAUGGCCGGUACAAAGGGCUGCGAUGCCGCAAGGUUAAGCGAAUCCUUUUAAAGCCGGUCUCAGUUCGGAUUGGGGUCUGCAACUCGACCCCAUGAAGUCGGAGUCGCUAGUAAUCGCAGAUCAGCAACGCUGCGGUGAAUACG